rnacentral:lncRNA from 1 species
UACUUUUAAUAUAUCUACUUUGCCAUAAACCCAGCAUCUGCCCUUGAAUAAGCAUUGGAAGGAAUGGCUGAUAGCAAGAACAGUAUCAGUGACGUAAAAUAUAAGAAUAGUAUUUAUGAAUAUGUUCAGACAAGAUACAGAACUACUGGCUCAAAAUCCGCAUGCAGUUCCAGGAAAGGCAGCUUCAUGUCUCCUCAGAGAAACGAAAGUUUAAAAGUUUGUUUUUACUAUUUCCAACACUUCUUGAUUUCCCACAGCAGUUAGAGCCAUGAGAAUAUUGAUGUGAGUAAGUUAACAUACAGAUCUAAAAGAUUAUGUCCACGUCAGAAUUCUUUUAUUCGGAGCUUUGGCUUCCUGCCAUGUGUUCAGGCAAUAAAUUGGCUGUAACAGAGCUGCUUCUAGCAUUCUGCUGAGUAGAAGUAUCCCAGCAGAGACAAUAGGAGCCAAAAUAAGGACAGGAAAAAGAGAGGCAACCCAGGUUAUCAGGAUUUCUGAAGUGCUUCUGCAAUGUUGCUCCGCUCAGGCCGCAAAAAGCCCUAUGAAGUGUCUCACCAUGAAAGGCAGUCUGUUAAGACACAAUCUCUGCUGAGAACUGUGAAAACAACUCCUGGAAACUCAGCGUUUAGUUUACGACAAACGCUGAAAUGCUAUAUACUGACUGAAGAUUCAAAAACAGUGCAUUUUGACAUAGAUGAAGACGGCCAUCAUGAAAUAUGCACCAAGGAUUCACAAUCCCAUGAAGAUAUUGCGUGGUUAAGUGUGUUCACAAAGAACGAACCAGCAGUUACUGAUUCUAAAAAUUUGGUGAUCCUCACACAGAGAUCAAAGCUUAAUGAAUUUGUCCUGUUGUGCAAGGGUAAGAAGCAGCUGUCUCUGAAGCUGAGUGAAGAUAAUAACUUUUUCAUCAUGCAUUACCAAGGAGAUUCAGUGCAGUUCCAGUGCUAUGAAGACAGAAGUUACUACCUGUGUGUGAAUGAUGACUCCCUUGAUAUUCGCAAGCGGGAAAACGAAGAACUCAACGAGGACAAAAAUUUUUACUUUAGGGUGUCAUAUUUACAGGAAAAGUAA